GCCUCAUGGGAGUUAAAGUGUCACCAAAGGACAAUCAGCAGGUGGCAGACAGGACUUGGGGGACACGGAGCAGACACGGGUUCGAAUGACACCGAGUGACGAUGGAGACAAGCGCUGAUGAUGUCCUAAAGAGGAGAAUUUAGGGGUGAGUGGACGGGGGGCUCCGUCACCGAUAGGGGGGUCAGUCUGAUCACCACUGCUGGUCUUCUCAUGUGAAGAUAAUCAUAUAAUGUCCAGACCUGCUCAGCUCCCACUGUAGUGACCACAGGUUCCUCUUCUCACUCUCACUGAUCCCGUUGUUCUCCAGCCUGUGAGGAGACACAAGUGUGAGUUACAAACAGCAGGGGGCGCCACACACACACUGGACUGUCACACUGACACGCCCCCUGAUGUCAUCCAGAAUUCCUCUCAGUGUCUGUGCUCAUCUAAGUCACAUGAU